UUUUCUUUUUAAUUACAAUGAAACAUAUUUCAUAUCAUUACUUCGACUUUGCAUUUUUGCAUUUUGCAUCUCAGGUCUCAAGUCUGAAAAUAUUUUAAGCUGGAUAUUUGUUUAUUUUUCAGGAUCACUAUUGAGAAUGUCCGGAUGGAACUUAUGGAGCCGAAUGUAAGUUUAUGUGUAGCGAGGGUUGUCUCUCAGUGUGUGAUAAAAAGAACGGGACCUGUAAGAAAUGCAGAGAAGGAUACACGGGGAGAUUCUGUAUCGACGCUCAUGCACUUCAACGGCGGAUAACAUCUAUAGUCGAAGUGGCGGGAAUUACCACAAGUGUUGCCUGUUUCAGCAUACUGUUUGCACUGGCUUUGAGAAGGGAGAGAUUAGCUGCUAUGUGAAAUGAAAUCCAGAACCGAACACCGGAAUGCAAAUCACCAAAACUAGAAAAAGAUGCCCACUCUUAGUUUUAUAAGUGUUAAAACGCUUAUUUUUCCCUUGUUUGUCAAGUUUGCCCUAUGUAUGUAAUUAUAAAACCAACAUUUAUAAAAAAAAAUUGAAACUGAGUUAUGCCAGAUGUUUAUAUCCUAUUGUAUUGAAUGUUCUCCCUCAUAUUCUUAAUACAGUAAUAUACAUUCUGUUUUAAUGCUUGUGUUAAUUCACAAAUUAAUCAGAUGUAUUUUUGUUUCAAAUUAAGUAAACUUUUAGAAUUUUAUAGGGAACACUGAUUGACAUCCCUCCCAAAACAUUUGUAUAAUUCUUUUUCUGUUAUUUUUAAUUAAAAAAUAACUGCAAAAAUAAGGAAUUAUUUCUUUAAAAAGUUCUAUGAAAGCCUUUUCUUACUGAAAAAGACUCCUUUUUCAUGUAUUUUUAACCAUAUUUUUAUGCAUGCAUUAUAAUAAAUAUAAUAAAUUUCA